CUGGGCCUCCCAAUGUGGAAGGCUUGAGGACUUUCUCCUCUUUUUCUGGCUGUUCCCAGAAAUCGGGGAGAAGCUGGGUCCGGUGUCUGCAGCUACUGAGCCUCUGUACCCCGAGUCUCCAUCACCCUCAACCCCGGCUCCAAUCCUGAGAGUCACUUCAGAUGUCCUGGAGUGAGGUGGCCAGGUGGCCAGUGGCCCAGAUGAACACCCACUCCUGGAAGGCGGGCUGGCGCUGCUCAUUCAUCCUGGCUCCCAGGGCCAGCUCAGUGCUUGGCACUCAGUGGGCCUUCGGCACAUGCGCCCUUGAGUGAAUGAAUGAAAAGGCUUUGGACUCCGGAUCACUGGUGCCUGCUCAGAUGUAUGCCAACUCAGCCAUUCUUCAUAUCUCAUCACAAGAAGGUGCUGUGGACAUCUCGGUUUUUUAGCAUCUUCUUCCCAUGUUCCUUUCCUGCUCCAUGCUGCCCUGACUGCUGCGGACCCACACCCACCUCCGCCUCCUGGCUCACUCCUUACACUGGACUGUGAGCACAGUGUUCUCUGGGUGCCACCUUCUCCUCCGACCUUGGGCUGACAUCCGAGCUGUGGUCCUUACCUGGGGAGGACUUUCCCCUUUGGUGGACACUGGGCAGUGUCCAGACAGGAUGGGGAGUGUGACAGCGGCUCACAUUUCCCCAGCACUCAUCCCGGGCCAACCAUUGGAUCUACAUCGCGCCAUUCAGUCUUCUCAGCAGCCUACGAAGUGGCUUCUGUUAGCUCUCCAUUUUACAGAUGAGCAAACUGAGACUUCCUUAGUCCAGAGUCAAAAGCAAGCACGUGGGAGUCACAGGGGAUCGAUAUUCAACUUUUAAUAUUGAGAGAAGGAAUUUUUGAGUCUGUAAGGAGGACCAUUGACAUAUGGGGAGUGGACGUACGGCGUCUGUUAAGGGGGAGAGUGGAAAACUCUUCCACUUUUUGGGCUGAACCAAGAGGCCGAAUGCCCAGGAGGAAGACAGGGUGUAGGAAAGUCCAGGUCAGAAAGAAUGAAGACUAGAGUUGGCCUUCUCCACCUCGGGGGAUCGUGGGAGGGAGACAGAGAGGAAGAAACGCAGAGGGAGGUGAGAAGCCAGUGACAUCACCUGUGAGCUGAGUGCCAGCUCAGGGGCCCUGUUGAGAAAGCUAGUGAGGAACAUGGGGGUGGGCAGGGGGCUUCUGCCCCAUUUUUGUUCGAGUUUCUGGGAGGAGACCCCUCGCAGGGGCCCUCCCCAUGUUCUGUGUCAGUCCAGGCCAGGGAGAGCCCGAGUGUGCCCUCUGAGCACCCUCCAUUCUCCUGUGCCAUGGGAAGGAACCAGGGCUUCCAUCUGUACUUAAGGGGGAUUUAGAAGUUAGUGGAGACUCGGGGGGAGGAGGGAGACUCUUGCCGAGGGAGGUUGCUGCCACCGGGGCCAAGUGACCCUUCAGCCAGGAGCCUCUCAUAUUCAGGCUGCCCAGGCUGGACACCGGUCUUGCCCAGGUAAGAGCCCAGGCAGAUCUCAGGGGAGUAGGCAGCACCAGUGAGAGCCUAGUGGGGCUUGGUCAGAGAGGGCAGCAGGCCAUGUUUCGGGGGCCUUGCCUGUGCUCAGAGGACAGAUGCCCAGGACAGGAUCAGGCUGAGCAAGGCUCAACACGUGCCAGGCAGACACGGCCAAGUUCAGACCCACAUCCCUCCCGUGGGGACCAGCCAAGGACACUGUGAGGUCAGGAGCCCUCCAUCCACUCUCCCUUGCCACCUACAAUGCUCCAAAGACAUAGGUGGCAUCUAUAUACCCAGAUGCCAUCUUGGGCAGGAGAAGGGGGGAGGGUGGGCAUUGGAAAGACCAGGCAUUUAUCUAUACGACCAAGUCAUCUCCAAGGGAGCACCUCCUCAGCUCUCUGGGGAGUUACACCUGGACAGACUCAGUCCCUGGACUGGAAGGAGACGGUAAACCACCGGAGGCCGAGAUCUCAUGAACUGACAAGUGUAAGUUUCUCCACCAUCUGUGCGGCGAGGAUGCUUAACGAAAUUCUAGAAAAUAAAGAACUGACACUUCCUUUGCACAUCUGAGUGGAAAUAUAAGCCUGUCACCCUGAUACAUAAUGGCUGUAACAGGUGCACAAUAAAUCCUUGUGGACGAGUGGAGGCAAGCACGGAUAUGCGAGAGGAGGCAGGACGGAUUGCAAGACUUAGCUCCUCCCGAAGACUCCGUUUUGCUUUCCUCAGGGUCUCAGGAGCAAACAAGCCAAAUACACGCAACUAGAACACAAGCGAUUGGUAUUAGAAAAUAACACGCACUAGAGUGU